rnacentral:rRNA from 1 species
GACGUAGGGCGCGAGCGUUUGUCCGGAUUUAUUGGGCGUAAAGAGCUCGUAGGCGGUUUGUCGCGUCGAAUGUGAAAACCCGGGGCUCAACCCCGGGCCUGCAUUCGAUACGGGCAGACUAGAGUUCGGUAGGGGAGUCUGGAAUUCCUGGUGUAGCGGUGAAAUGCGCAGAUAUCAGGAGGAACACCGGUGGCGAAGGCGGGACUCUGGGCCGACACUGACGCUGAGGAGCGAAAGCGUGGGGAGCAAACAGG